GGCAGUGUGGUGUAGUAGUUUAAGUACUGGAUUAUGACUCAAGAUCAGGGUUCAAUUCCCUGCUUGGCCA